AACAAUCGCGAAUCCGCACUUAAAUUUUAUAUCUUUUUAGCAAAACAAUUGUUCCGCACGGAUUCAAAUGUAAGUCGGAACCAUCCCAGCAUCUGCGCCGUCGCCGAAGAUACAAGAAACGCCGUAAAACUCUACGCAUUGGCGUGUUCCGGUACAGUUUCAGUGCCGGCAUCGACGGAUAAGAUCUUGGGGGAUUUCCGGUAGUACGAUAGUUGCUCCGGACUCUGGAGCUCCUGUCGGGUUGCGGCAAAACGCGUACAAUGAUAGACAGCGUGUUCCACCGACUCCACCACCCCAGGGCAUCGGCGACAGACCGGGGACGACGUGAAACCCAAUCGGCACAGGUACUCACGGAAUAAUCCGUGCCCAGAGAGUACCUGCAACUGCUGGAAAGUCACGUCUCCGUGAUUCCGGGACUGCCAUGCCCUAACGUCCGGAAUGGUGCGGUGCGCCCAUCUGGUGAAGCGGCUGGCGUCGCUGCACGAUGCAUCCGCAUCCCACCGCUCCUGCCACAGCUGCAACGUCCGCUCCCGUUCCUCGCGGCGCACCUCACUGCUGCUCACUGUUGCUGCUCCGUCGGCUCCUCGAAGGCGCUGGUAGACGCGGUGGUCUUCGUCCACCAGUAAGCAGAUCGGCAGCAAACCCGACAGCAUCACCGCCGUCUCGUUCCGCGUGGUCCGGAACGAUCGCGACACCCGCAAUGCCGUCUUCCGCUGCACUCGUUGCAGCAACCGGCGACACUCCUGGAUCUCCAGUCCAUCGCGCCAGAUUGGCGCAGCAUAGCGGAUCGCGAACUCACAGCCCAAAGGGUUGGACUAGCCCACAUACCCAACAUUGGACAUACGGAAGCAUAUGCUUCAGCUGCGUACAACGAGGACAGAAGCAUAGCUUAAAAAACACGAAAUCUGUUGUUUGAACUAAUCCAACGGCUGUUUGAUCUAAUACCUCUGGCUGUUUGAUCUAAUACAACGAAUAAAUUCAUCGUUGCAGAUCGUAAAAGCAGAUGUUCAUCAUGCGCUCAUCGUUGUCCGACCGACGCUUCCAAGGAGGUACUGGACAGUUGUGCGAACAAACUGAAUUUUUGAAACGAAUUCGCAAUAUGAAGCUCGUCUCGUCAUACAAGGAAAUACGGAUUCAAUUUGCUCUGCGCUCAAGUCCCUAUGUUCCUCUGGAGGGUCUCAAGCUGACGGCUUGGUAGCUCUGAAACCUAGAGUAUCCACUCCGUCCUGUUUUGCGUCCUGUCCGCCCGAGGGUUUCGGAUUACCUCGUACACCCACAUUCGAACAAUACAUUCGAAUCCAGACCCCAUUGCA